rnacentral:rRNA from 1 species
UACGUAGGGUGCGAGCGUUGUUCGGAUUCACUGGGCGUAAAGGGUGCGUAGGUGGUGAGGUAAGUCGGAUGUGAAAGCUCGGAGCUCAACUCCGAAAUGGCAUUGGAAACUACCUUGCUCGAGGGUUGGAGGGGGGACUGGAAUGCUUGGUGUAGCAGUGAAAUGCGUAGAUAUCAAGCGGAACACCAGUGGCGAAGGCGAGUCCCUGGACAACUCCUGACACUGAGGCACGAAAGCUAGGGGAGCAAACAGG